rnacentral:rRNA from 1 species
GAUGAACGCUGGCGGCGUGCCUAAUACAUGCAAGUCGAGCGAACAGACGAGGAGCUUGCUCCUCUGACGUUAGCGGCGGACGGGUGAGUAACACGUGGAUAACCUACCUAUAAGACUGGGAUAACUUCGGGAAACCGGAGCUAAUACCGGAUAAUAUAUUGAACCGCAUGGUUCAAUAGUGAAAGACGGUUUUGCUGUCACUUAUAGAUGGAUCCGCGCCGCAUUAGCUAGUUGGUAAGGUAACGGCUUACCAAGGCGACGAUGCGUAGCCGACCUGAGAGGGUGAUCGGCCAAACUGGAACUGAGACACGGUCCAGACUCCUACGGGAGGCAGCAGUAGGGAAUCUUCCGCAAUGGGCGAAAGCCUGACGGAGCAACGCCGCGUGAGUGAUGAAGGUCUUCGGAUCUUAAAACUCUGUUAUUAGGGAAGAACAAAUGUGUAAGUAACUAUGCACGUCUUGACGGUACCUAAUCAGAAAGCCACGGCUAACUACGUG